GCCUUCUUAGCUCAGUGGUAGAGCACUUCCUUGGUAAGGAAGAGGUCGUCGGUUCAAAUCCGAUAGAAGGCU
rfam:Spirosoma montaniterrae strain DY10, complete genome.